rnacentral:misc_RNA from 1 species
GAUGAAGAACGCAGCGAAAUGCGAUAAGUAAUGCGAAUUGCAGAAUUCAGUGAGUCAUCGAAUCUUUGAACGCACAUUGCGCCCUUUGGUAUUCCAAAGGGCAUGCCUGUUCGAGCGUCAUUAUCAACGUAUCAAGCUUGGCUUGUCUUUGGGCCCUUUGUCACCUGGUGAUAGGUCCAAAAGAUAAUGACCGGUGUCGUAAAGACUCUAUAUGCAACGAGCUUAUGACAGGCACGCAUUUAGUAGCUAUAUGACCCGGUUUUCACCUCUUUAUUUCUCAAGGUUGACCUCGGAUCAGGUAGGAAUACCCGCUGAACUUAAGCAUAUCAAUAAGCGGAGGA